UAGGGAAUCUUCCACAAUGGGCGGCAAGCCUGAUGGAGCAACACCGCGUGAGUGAAGAAGGGUUUCGGCUCGUAAAGCUCUGUUGUUAAAGAAGAACACGUAUGAGAGUAACUGUUCAUACGUUGACGGUAUUUAACCAGAAAGUCACGGCUAACUACGUGCCUG
rnacentral:rRNA from 1 species